rnacentral:lncRNA from 1 species
GUCCACUCCAACUCCGCACAGCGCUCCUGAUUUCGUAGGCGAUUUCAAAAUCAGUUGGCCCUUUCCCCUAAAUCCAAUUCCUUAUCGGUGAGCGACGAGCAUGAACGGUGUGCUGAAUCUGAAGUCCCCACUCCGCAAGCCCGCAAGUACGCAAAGGCGUCUGCAACUGCCAACUUCCAACUGGUACGAUUGUGAUAUGUGAAUUUGUGAUAUCAUUAUCAUUUCAAUUUCAAUUUUCAUACGUUAAAUUGGGGCAUGUUUAUUGUUUAUGUUUAAUUAUUGUUUUUUUUUUAGUAGUUUGUUAUGCGCUCUCUCUCUCUCUGCCUAAUUAGGUAUUAAUUUUUAGGGUUUUGAUUUUUGAAUUGCUUCAGCUUAGGCUUACAGCUUAUUUGGGGAUUUUGUUGGAAUUGGUUUUAUUGUGAUGUUUUCAGUUGAGCGGUUUAGAGAUUUGCGGUAUUUUUAAAUUUUAUCUGUAAAUAAUCUCGUGACUUUCGUCCUUUUGAGUUUUGAUUUAAGUUUUUAUGAAUUUGUUUUAUUGUGAUUUAAGUUUGUAUGAAGUGUUUAUGGCUUUCAAUAAAUGGUGGAAACUGGAAAGUAAAUAAGUAAUGCCGUAGUGGGAGAAACGGGUUUGAUAACGAAAUUUGGGGCUUUUAAUAAAUGGUGGGAAGUUGGAAAGUUUUUAUGAUGGUUAAUAAAUGGUUGAAUUGUUGAAUUUUUAAUCAACUCUAAUUGAAAAUUAAAUUGGGGCAUUUUGUAGAUUAUGGAACGAUUUUUUUAACCGAAACGAAAGUCUAUACCUAGUUCUCCUAGUUCGAGUUGUGCUUCUAGUCCCGCUGCCGCUACUAGUUGAUCACUCGAGUUGUUAAAUAACACAAAGAAGUCUCGGGCCACCGACCAGACUGGGCUUUUACGAUCAUUGAUUGUCAACGGACGAUGAUCAACGGUCAAAUUCAACCUUCGCCCUAACUGAAGGUUGAUGCUGGAUUCGCCCCUAAGGGUAGGUUUUACUUUUAUUCUCUUAUAUUUUACUUCCGUUAUUAAUAAAUCAAGACACCUAGAGUGUUUAUUAUUGUUAACAAAGAAAACUAACUUUAAAAAAUAUUUUAGACAAAAUAGAAAAUAAGUUAAGACUUACUUUUUAAGCAUAGUACAUGUUCUUAAAUUGUUAUUCACAAAGUGGUGAAAGGAAUUAUAAAGAUGCCAACAUAUUUUGGAGAUGAUUUGUAUAAAUCUCCACAUCAUUUUUGCAUCGAUAGCAUGAAUUUUCUCUUUUCAAAGUAUCAAUCAAUAAAACCUUCCAUAAGAUAGACCAUCAAGAAAAUGUGGUGGCCGAUCUUACUGUGUGACACACAAAAGAAGAGAAGAAGAGUUGUUUAAAGAGGCAUGAGCUCCACAUUCCGUUGUCGUCAACUUUUUUCGGAUCAAUCAUUCAACCAACUCUAUGUGUUGUGCUUGAAAACUCAUACAUAAGCUGCUUAAAAACGUAGUAAUCACUCACCCAUCUAUAUCUAGAAAGUUAUUGGAUGUUUGAAGAAUAACAAGCAUGUCUUGUCAAAACCUUUCAUUUUGUAUAUCGAGGGAACUAACUCAACGACCAAUAAGCUCAAACAAAUAAUAUUUAUAUGCCUUGCAAUUAAACAACUAGAGAGAGAGAGAGAGAGAUGAGAAGGACAUAAGAAAUGGCUUAUCUUCUAAUUGCAACUAUUAUCGCUGGUAGAAUUGGCUAAAUCACAGCUGCUAAAUAUGCUUAUGUCCAAACGUCAAGUUCCGCUCUCCACUUUCGAUUAAAUGAAGAAAAGUCUAGUGAUCUACAUAGUUUUCUUGGGCUGAUAAUCUACCUUCUCUUAAGAUUAAUGAGGUAUAAGUUCAUAGCAUUUUUGUUUGAGGAUAAAAGGGGAAUUUAUAUUUUAUUUUUUAUCUGUGAAUUAUAAAGAAAAUUGACUUAAAAACAAUAAUGGAAAUAAUCGAAGAAAAAUUACAAUAUCUAUAUAUGUUAGAUAGCUAGAAUUUAAUAAGUCCAUGUUUGGUACCAAUUAAAAUCUAGAUUUUAACUUAAGUCAAAGUCAGCAAUUUAUUUCAUCAUAUAUUUUAUCGGUCCUACAACUUUUGAACUACACAUUUCAUUGAUUUCUAUCAAAAUCUACUAAAAUUCUAAUUUUAAUUCCCAUCAAGCCCAUCUUUGGUACAAAUUAAAAUUAAAAUUUUAAUCUAAAUUAAAGUCAAUAAUUAAUUUAAUUACAUAUUAAUAAAUUUAAACUCCAAAAGAAAUUAUUUUAAUAACAAAAUGGUCUUUAACAAUUUAGAUUCACACACCAAGAACACUAAUCAAUUAAAGUAUUGUGCUAUUCUACUUGGGAGGCCACAAAAAAUAGCUUUGUAUUAUCUAACUUCUAAUAAAAAGGUGAAUAGGAUGCAACUGUAGAUACAAUAGUAAAGCAAUCCUAUUUUACUGUUCACUAUAUUUUCCCUAUUUUAAAAAAAAAAAUUCUUUGUUGCGACCAUGUCGACAACCAUGUUAACCGUACUUCCACGACCAUACUCCUUAUUUUCCUUUUUAUUGAUAUCUUCAUUUUUAAUUUUUUUUUUUCAUUUUGGUGAAUUCUGUUUUUAUUGGACCACAUUUCAGAUAUUCUCACUUCAUCUUUGAUUCUCUCUCUCUCUUUUUUUUUUUUUUUGGCAUUUAAGCUUGCUGUUGGCAUGAGAAGACAGCAACGUUGGAUACCUACAUAUACAGAGGUUGAUUUUCUUCGAUGCAUAUUUGAUGGAGGAAAAAUAAUAUAGAAAUUCUACAUAUAGUCUCCACCUUAUCGUUACACAAUCUUGUUAUUUCUGAAAAAAAUGUUGGUGAUUGGUUUAAAAAUAUGCGAGCCUGUGAAAGAAAGAGAAAGUAGACGUGCAUUGAGAAUCCUCAACUAAAAAAUCUGAUGUAUGAAGUGCAACUUCAUUCUACAGAUCGACGUUUAAGGACCUUCAUUUUAACGGGUUGAUAUUUAGUGGUGUUUAUACUUUUUGGGUACUUGUAUUUGUUUUGAUCAAAAAAUAAAAAAUAAAAAAAAUCAGGUGCCAUAAAGAGAUGGUUCAGAACUCUUUGUGAGAAAUCAGCUUACUAAUUUUUUUUAUUAGUAGUUUGAACAACCAAAAUUUAUACUUAUUUUUUUUAUACAAUAAUUAUGUUUAGUUUUUAGUUUGCUGUUUUAAUUUGUUAUUGUUAGAGAAAUUUUUUUUGAAAACUCCGCACUGUGCGGAGAGUGCAGAGGGAAAAGUGAUCUCUUCGUACAGUUCGCAAAGAUGAAUUCAUCUCUAUGAACUGUUCGGAGAUUUUUUUUAUUUUUUAUUUUUUUAACGGUCUUUUUUAUAUAGUAUAGUUUUCUUUAUAUAUGAAAUGCUUUUUUUUUUUUGUUACAAUUUUCUUUUUUUUUUUUUCAAAUUUUUUUCUUUCAUGAUGCUAAUCAACAUUUUGAAUAAGGGGGAAUGAGUGUGAGUAUUGAAUAUGCAGAAAAAAUUGAUAAAGGAAAUGUUUAUGCUCUGCCAUCUUCUAAUUCUCCUGCUACAAAAUUCUAUAAAAAAGCAGAGGGUUUUAUUGUUGUAAUGGAAAUGUUUUUAGUAUGAUUUAUUUAUUUCUACAUCUUUUAAAAAAGUUGUUCGUGCUUGCGUUUGUACAGUUUUUAAUUUAUCAUCUUGUUGUGCUUGUAUUUGUUGUAUUUGUUUAUUGACCGUGUUUUUUUUUUUUUUUUUACAGAAAUAAAACUCCACACUCUGCGCACAGUUUGCAGAGAUCAAUUAUGAUAUGAUCCAGGAGUCGAGCCUGACGAAGGCAAGUGCGAGACGAGACCCGUUGAUAGUCGAUGGCGGACCAAUGACGCGAUCAAGGGCAAAGCAAGUGAAACAAGC